AUGGGCGCAAGCCUGAUCCAGCAAUGCCGCGUGCAGGAUGAAGGCCUUCGGGUUGUAAACUGCUUUUGUACGGAACGAAAAGCCCUGGGUUAAUACCCUGGGGUCAUGACGGUACCGUAAGAAUAAGCACCGGCUAACUACGUGCCAGCAGCCGCGGUAAUACGUAGGGUGCGAGCGUUAAUCGGAAUUACUGGGCGUAAAGCGUGCGCAGGCGGUUUUGUAAGACAGAGGUGAAAUCCCCGGGCUCAACCUGGGAACUGCCUUUGUGACUGCAAGGCUAGAGUAUGGGAGAGGAUGGUAGAAUUCCAGGUGUAGCGGUGAAAUGCGUAGAGAUCUGGAGGAAUACCGAUGGCGAAGGCAGCCAUCUGGCCUAAUACUGACGCUGAGGUACGAAAGCAUGGGGAGCAAACAGGAUUAGAUACCCUGGUAGUCCAUGCCGUAAACGAUGUCUACUAGCCGUUGGGGCCUUUGAGGCUUUAGUGGCGCAGCUAACGCGAUAAGUAGACCGCCUGGGGAGU
rnacentral:rRNA from 1 species